rnacentral:rRNA from 1 species
UACGGAGGGUGCGAGCGUUAAUCGGAAUUACUGGGCGUAAAGCGCACGUAGGCGGUCAGGCAAGUCGGGUGUGAAAGCCCUGGGCUCAACCUGGGAAUUGCAUUCGAAACUAUCUGACUCGAGUAUGGGAGAGGGAAGCGGAAUUUCCGGUGUAGCGGUGAAAUGCGUAGAUAUCAGGAAGAACACCGAUGGCGAAAGCAGCUCUCUGGGACGGUACUGACGCUGAGGCGCGAAAGCGUGGGGAGCGAACAGG